AACAUCAGACAAUCUAAAGCAACAAUGAAAUAUUUUGCCAUUCUAACCAUUGCUCUUGUCUUAACUGGGGCCAACGCCGGCUUCUUGGAUUCAUUCAAAUCCACUCUUAGUUCCAUUGGUGAUAACAUCAAAAACGUAUACAAUGGAGUUAAGCCCCUUCUCAGCAGUGCUGUUAGUAAACUUGUCGGAGAAUUGAAAACAACUGGAUCCCAAAUCUUAGCCCAGGGUGCACAAGCUCUUCUUGGUAGUCUUUCUGGAGGCACAACCACCACCCGUGAUGUUGCUCUUCUUGAUAAAGUUGGCCAAUUCGUCAAGAAUGGCGAAGAUAUGAUCUCAACUCUCUCCCACACCAUUGGAAAUCUUUUCAACGGUGCUGUUGCCAAGCUCACCGAUUUAGCAGGAAAACUUGGAAACGCACAACUCUUCGGACAACCCAUCAGCAAAUUCAUCAGUGAAAUCGAAGAAGUUGUUUCAAGCCACAACCUUCUCCAGAGCUCCAUCCUUAAACAAUUGAUUGAACAACCAGCUAAAUUGUUGUCAAGUGCUGCCCAACAUCUAAUGGGACACAAGAGAAGUGCAAUCAGUGAUCUUUUGUCCUCUAUCGGACAAACAUUGGCCUCCACCUUCAAGCCAGCCAUUGAUACCGUCACCAAGCACAUUACCAAUUUGGGAGCAACUUUGAAAAAUGCCGGUACCGCUCUUUUCGGAGCCGUCAAGCCCACCAUUGAUGCUUUGACUGGAAAACUCACCGAUCACGUCAACAACUUGAAACAAGUCGGAACUGAACUUUUAGGACAUGGAAAGAAUGCCCUCAGUGCUCUCACUGAUGCUGUUACUGAUAUUCUUGGACAAACCUUCCACAACGCCCAACCCACCAUCCAGAAAGCUAUCGACACCGCCAAACAAGCAGGUAAAGAUACCAUUGGCACCCUUUUGGGAGGAGGAAACUAAAAAAUAAAUUAGUUGCUUAAUA